UACGUAGGGUGCAAGCGUUGUCCGGAAUUAUUGGGCGUAAAGAGCUCGUAGGCGGUCUGUCGCGUCGGCUGUGAAAACCCGGGGCUCAACCCCGGGCCUGCAGUCGAUACGGGCAGACUAGAGUGUGGUAGGGGAGACUGGAAUUCCUGGUGUAGCGGUGAAAUGCGCAGAUAUCAGGAGGAACACCAAUGGCGAAGGCAGCUCGCUGGAACGGUACUGACGCUGAGGCGCGAAAGCGUGGGGAGCAAACAGG
rnacentral:rRNA from 1 species